UUAUAUAUUUAAUUAUAUUUUAAUUGGGGUAGCCCCCAAAAUAUUGGGACAUAUAAAAAAAAGACAACUCUGUUCCGCAGAGUAGCUGUUGACAUUAUAGUUGCGCAGGAACUUUGUUGACUCUAAAGAAUCUCGGGAAAAAUUGCACAUCCUUGUGGCAACGACAUUGCAUGCGGAUGUCAUCCAUAUCAACUUUCGAUGCCAGUUUCUGCGCCUACCAUGGUGACCACGGGUAAUGGGGAAUCAGGAUUCCAUUCUGUACAGGGACCCUGAGAAACUGCUACCUCAUGCAAGGAAGGCAGCAGGCGUGCAAAUGACCCACUCCCGACGCAGGAAGGUAGUGACAA
rnacentral:rRNA from 1 species